rnacentral:rRNA from 1 species
GUGCCAGCCGCCGCGGUAAUACGGAGGAUGCAAGCGUUAUCCGGAAUUAUUGGGCGUAAAGCGUCUGUAGGUGGUCGCGUAAGUCUGUUGUUAAAGCUCAGGGCUUAACCCUGAAUCAGCAGUGGAAACUACGUAACUUGAGAACAGUAGGGGCAGAGGGAAUUCCUAGUGUAGCGGUGAAAUGCGUAGAUAUUAGGAAGAACACCGGUGGCGAAAGCGCUCUGCUGGGCUGUAUCUGACACUGAGAGACGAAAGCUAGGGGAGCGAAAGGGAUUAGAAACCCCUGUAGUCC